rnacentral:rRNA from 1 species
GACGAACGCUGGCGGCGUGCUUAACACAUGCAAGUCGAACGGAAAGGCCCUGCUUUUGUGGGGUGCUCGAGUGGCGAACGGGUGAGUAACACGUGAGUAACCUGCCCUUGACUUUGGGAUAACUUCAGGAAACUGGGGCUAAUAUCGGAUAGGAGCUCCUGCUGCAUGGUGGGGGUUGGAAAGUUUCGGCGGUUGGGGAUGGACUCGCGGCUUAUCAGCUUGUUGGUGGGGUAGUGGCUUACCAAGGCUUUGACGGGUAGCCGGCCUGAGAGGGUGACCGGCCACAUUGGGACUGAGGUACGGCGCAGACUCCUACGGGAGGCAGCAGUGGGGAAUAUUGCACAGUGGGCGGAAGCCUGAUGCAGCAGCGCCGCGUGCGGGAUGACGGCCUUCGGGUUGUAAACCGCUUUCUCCUGUGACGAGGCGUGAGUGACGGUAAUGGGUAAAGAAGCACCGGCUAACUACGUG